rnacentral:rRNA from 1 species
CCUACGGGUCGCACCAGUGGGGAAUAUUGCACAAUGGGCGCAAGCCUGGUGCAGCCAUGCCGCGUGUAUGAAGAAGGCCUUCGGGUUGUAAAGUACUUUCAGCGGGGAGGAAGGCGAUAAGGUUAAUAAUCUUGUCGAUUGACGUUACCCGCAGAAGAAGCACCGGCUGACUCCGUGCCAGCAGCCGCGGUAAAACGGAGGGUGCAAGCGUUAAUCGGAAUUACUGGGCGUAAAGCGCACGCAGGCGGUCUGUCAAGUCGGAUGUGAAAUCCCCGGGCUCAACCUGGGAACUGCAUUCGAAACUGGCAGGCUAGAGUCUUGUAGAGGGGGGUAGAAUUCCAGGUGUAGCGGUGAAAUGCGUAGAGAUCUGGAGGAAUACCGGUGGCGAAGGCGGCCCCCUGGACAAAGACUGACGCUCAGGUGCGAAAGCGUGGGGAGCAAACAGGAUUUGAUACCCGGGUAGUC